GGAAGAUUUGAAGAGAAAGAGGGAGGGGCAAGGGGCGUAGGGAGAGGAUAAGUGAAUGCAAAGAUCUUUCAACUCUGCUUUGUUGAAGAUCGUUUAUUGUACAGAAUCAGCUAAGAAGGCUGAGUAUAGCACUGAAUCUGCAAAUUCAGGUGACUUGCUCUACGUUUCCGGCGAACAAUGCUUCGUUUCCGGUGAGUGGAGAUAAGAAUAAUAACCUUCUACCUACAACGGAUUUGUUAAUUCAAAAAUUGAAACAGAGAUGGAGAGAAAUAGAGAAGCUAGAAGAGUAAGUAUGGCCGCUGCCAAUGGUUUAGCGUCCAGAAGACGACAUAGGAGCGGCAGCCUAAGAGAUUCUCCAGGUUCAAAAUUUUUAUCAGAUCUAAACUCUUUGAUUAAGAUGAAACGCUGUCCUCUCAAUUAACUUUUGCUGGGUUAUUGUGUCAUUGCAGAGGAUGAUGGGCCGGUGGAGUUGCAGGAAUCGGCGAGGCUAAGAGAUCGAGUGACUGGGAAAAAGGAUCGAGAUCGAGAUCGGGAUAGAGAGCGAGACCGGGACCGUGACAGAGAGAGGGACAGGGACAGGGACAGAGAU
rnacentral:misc_RNA from 1 species